rnacentral:snoRNA from 16 species
CGCUGUGAUGACUGGAUGAGUUAUUGUUUGCACAUUUACCGAGCCUUCGUGGCCCGUGAGCGACCGUAUAACUUCUAAGAACACCAGCUGAUU